rnacentral:rRNA from 1 species
GAUCAUGGCUCAGAACGACGCUGGCGGCAGGCCUAACACAUGCAAGUCGAGCGAACCCUUCGGGGUUAGCGGCGGACGGGUGAGUAACGCGUGGGAACGUGCCCUUUGCUACGGAAUAGCCCCGGGAAACUGGGAGUAAUACCGUAUGUGCCCUUCGGGGGAAAGAUUUAUCGGCAAAGGAUCGGCCCGCGUUGGAUUAGGUAGUUGGUGGGGUAAUGGCCUACCAAGCCGACGAUCCAUAGCUGGUUUGAGAGGAUGAUCAGCCACACUGGGACUGAGACACGGCCCAGACUCCUACGGGAGGCAGCAGUGGGGAAUCUUAGACAAUGGGCGCAAGCCUGAUCUAGCCAUGCCGCGUGAUCGAUGAAGGCCUUAGGGUUGUAAAGAUCUUUCAGUGGGGAAGAUAAUGACUGUACCCACAGAAGAAGCCCCGGCUAACUCCGUG